rnacentral:lncRNA from 1 species
UGGGCACGUGUCCAUGUUUGGUAGAGUACAGGCCGGCAGGAUAAGAUGGCGGUGAGGAUGGUUGCUGAUGAAGGAGGAAUUGGACGGGACUAAGUCCAUAGGAGAUGAUGUGUCUGUGCCGAUGGCUAUGGCAAGAGAGUCUGCCGAUGACCAUGACAUGGGAGUCUGCCGAUGAUACGGAAGGAGAGUUUGGAAGUUGCCGAUCGGUUUGUGG